CAUUUAGAAAUUAUCCUUGAAGUGAUUGGGAGUGAUUUUCGUACACAUAAACAUGACCAAUCUUAAGUACUCUUACUUGUUAUUCUUCAUUGUUGUUAUCGCAGUUGGAGUUUCGAUGGUCAGUGGACAGGAAAGAUGUAAAGAUGUUUUAUAUGAAGGCCAAUGUGAGCCAGCUGAUUGCCAAGAAAAAUGUACUAUAAACCACUCCAAUAGCGUAGGAGAGUGUUGGCGUUGGUCCGGAAAUAAUGUUCCUUAUUGUUUGUGUAAUUUCCUUUGUAGUUAAACUUAAAGGUUUAAGGUUCCAUAUAAGAAGAAUUGGAAUCAUAUUUAAUAGCGUACCUAUGAUGUUCUACAUGUUUUCAAUAUAAUAAGUGGAUUUCUCUUAAA